rnacentral:rRNA from 1 species
AUACGGAGGGUGCAAGCGUUGUUCGGAUUCACUGGGUAUAAAGGGUGCGCAGGCGGUCUGAUAAGUCAGAGGUGAAAUAUGUCGGCUCAACCGGCAAACGGCCCCUGAAACUGUCAGACUUGAGUCCGGGAGAGGUAGGUGGAAUUCCAGGUGUAGCGGUGAAAUGCGUAAAUAUCUGGAGGAACACCGGUGGCGAAGGCGGCCUACUGGCCCGGAACUGACGCUCAGGCACGAAAGCAUGGGGAGCGAACGGGAUUAGAAACCCCAGUAGUCC